AGAGUAUGAGUGGAGAUAAUUACGGAGAAGUCAUACUCUCUCACACCCUCGGCUUUCUUGUUGUGUCCUUCAGCAAAACAGUGGAUUUAAAUCUCCUUGCACAAGCUUGAGAGCAACACAAUCUAUCAGGAAAGAAAGAAAGAAAAAAACCGAACCUGACAAAAAAGAAGAAAAAGAAGAAGAAAAAAAAUCAUGAAAACCAUCCAGCCAAAAAUGCACAAUUCUAUCUCUUGGGCAAUCUUCACGGGGCUGGCUGCUCUGUGUCUCUUCCAAGGAGUGCCCGUGCGCAGCGGAGAUGCCACCUUCCCCAAAGCUAUGGACAACGUGACGGUCCGGCAGGGGGAGAGCGCCACCCUCAGGUGCACUAUUGACAACCGGGUCACCCGGGUGGCCUGGCUAAACCGCAGCACCAUCCUCUAUGCUGGGAAUGACAAGUGGUGCCUGGAUCCUCGCGUGGUCCUUCUGAGCAACACCCAAACGCAGUACAGCAUCGAGAUCCAGAACGUGGAUGUGUAUGACGAGGGCCCUUACACCUGCUCGGUGCAGACAGACAACCACCCAAAGACCUCUAGGGUCCACCUCAUUGUGCAAGUAUCUCCCAAAAUUGUAGAGAUUUCUUCAGAUAUCUCCAUUAAUGAAGGGAACAAUAUUAGCCUCACCUGCAUAGCAACUGGUAGACCAGAGCCUACGGUUACUUGGAGACACAUCUCUCCCAAAGCGGUUGGCUUUGUGAGUGAAGACGAAUACUUGGAAAUUCAGGGCAUCACCAGGGAGCAGUCAGGGGACUACGAGUGCAGUGCCUCCAAUGACGUGGCCGCGCCCGUGGUACGGAGAGUAAAGGUCACCGUGAACUAUCCACCAUACAUUUCAGAAGCCAAGGGUACAGGUGUCCCCGUGGGACAAAAGGGGACACUGCAGUGUGAAGCCUCAGCAGUCCCCUCAGCAGAAUUCCAGUGGUACAAGGAUGACAAAAGACUGAUUGAAGGAAAGAAAGGGGUGAAAGUGGAAAACAGACCUUUCCUCUCAAAACUCAUCUUCUUCAAUGUCUCUGAACAUGACUAUGGGAACUACACUUGCGUGGCCUCCAACAAGCUGGGCCACACCAAUGCCAGCAUCAUGCUAUUUGAAGUGAAAACUACAGCCCUGACCCCUUGGAAAGGUUUGUAUAUUUUUCAGACAGCUGCUGCCUUGGUGGGUGUGGGGUAUGUAAAACUCUUCACCUUCCUCCCAGAUGCCUUCUUUCCUGAGCUAACUCCAGGAAGCAGCGCAGAGGGAACCCUCCCCCAACCUUCAACCAUCUCCGUGUCAAUUUAGAUUAACCCCAUCCUCAAGGACAUCCAAUCCUUCCUAGGUAGAUCCCACUUGCAGUAGCCUAACUUCUCUUUGCUGGUGGCACUAAUGAGCACCUGUCAGUGCCCAGAAUAGCUCCAUCUCUGGGCUACUCUGCACCAGGCCUGCCUCUUUCCUCACACACGGAUGCUCUAAUGCAGCGAUCUUCUCAGACCUUGGCCCUGCAUGCUGCCCUUGCUUGCACCAUUCUUUCUAUCUCUCUAACUUGGAGCUGGAAGGGAAGUGGCAAGGGGAGGGGAAGAUGGGAGGAAGGGGGAGGUUCUUGGGUGAGUCACUUGGCUACGAAUAAAAUGCAUCUUAUUUGAAGCUUUCAUUCCUGCCAGAUGUUUCCGAUGGAUAAUUGACACUCAUCACCGUUCUCUGGGACCCUAACUGUCCUGGUAAUUAGUCUCUUUAGGCCUCCGCAGCUCUCUAAUGAGAUAGAGGCAAUAAAGGCAUUCACUGUGGAGUGGAGGCGUGGCUGAAUGAAGAAUGGAGGCCUCAUCUGCGUGGCCCAUGUCACUAGGCAGAUGGGCUGAGCUGUAGCUCUGACCAGCACUGGCUUUGAGAGGGCCUUGAUCCCAGGGUGCUGUGGUCCACGCCCACCUGGACCUAAGGUCUUCAUCUCAUCUCAUGGAAUCCUUCCACAUAGCAUUCAUUCAUUCAGUGUGGGAUGGCCUGCGGGAAGCAGCCCAGUGGCACGCCUGCGGUUCUCACCUUUUAACCUGUACCCAGGUGGAGCAGGCCAUGCAGCCACACUCUCUUCUCUUUAUUCUCUGAAGAUGCAUCUCUGAGAUAGUGGGAAGAUAGUUGCAUUUGAAGACAGAAGUCAAGAGACUUGGGAAAGUCACUUAAGCUUCCUGAAGUUCAGUUUCCACAUGGUAGAAAGGGAGAUAAUAAUUCUCAUCUCCUACAUGAGUGUCAUUAAGGUGUUGUGAUAGCUUUCCCAGUGCAAGCGCUCUAUCUGAAAUCCUAACUGACAUGGCUUUGCUUCUAUGUAGAUAGACACUCAGCCACAGGAAUUCUCAGUAAGUUGUAUUGGAUAUAGUUAGAAAAGGGGAGGAAAGGUAUUUGGAAGAGGAAAUUGAGGUAAGGCAGAGGGCAAGGUAUGAAAAAAGUUUUUGUUUUAUUUUUUCUUCAAGUACAAUUUUAAGCAAAAGUAAAACACAAAGACAAAUAAAUGUGGAUAUGUCAGCAUGAGUGGCAAUGCCCCCUCCUUCUUUCAACAAACAUUGGUUGAAUACCUGCCACGGGCCAAUGAGAUACAGACUCUGCUCUUAAGGAACUUACUGCACAGAGGACAGAGGAGGAAAUACAAAUAAGUUAGGCAAAGAGAAUUAUGACACAGGGUGGUAAGUAUUUUACUAGUGGGAUGUGUAUGGCACUGAGCAAGGCAGGGAAGGCUGCCUGCAAGAGGUGCUGAAGGCUGGAAGAGGAGCUGGAAUGAAGAAUAAGAGUGAUAUGGGUGAGACAUAUUUCGGACGGAGGGGAGAGUGUGUGAGGGUGGGGAAAAAAGACCCGCCCCUGUGUGCUCACAUGUGGUUAUGUGGCAAGGGGCAAGGGCACCAAACUAGGUGUGGCAAGAAGAGACACCAAGGCUGCAGACUGCAGGCACAUCACGAAAUGUAGUGCUCGGUCCACUGAGAAGCUGGACUUGGUGCUAGCCUGUUGGCCUCAAAUCAAUGAGGAUCAUGAUCGAUUUGGGGUAGAAACAUCACCUUGGAAUUCGCAUAAAGAAUAAAUUCCAGGGGUCAAGGCCACAGGUGGCAAGGUCCAAUUGGUGAACAUUUUUGGGAAUUGAAAGAUGAGAUGGUGCAGAGUAUCUCCUUUGGGAGGAUGUCUCAUUUGAGAGAAUGCCCCUGCCUCGGGGCUACCCCUGUUUCCUUCUCCUUCUGUCCAACUUGGUCCAGGUCUGGUGUCCUGGAUGUGCUGCUGAAGAGACAGGUUCCGGGGGUGGUGAGCGCAUGUACCUGUGGGGUGGGCUGCGCAGACUGGAUAUGGUCACAUAGUGCCAGCCACUCACCAGCCUGAGAUGGAGAUGAUGAUGAUGGAGAGCUUCAGAGGGGCUGCUCAGGCUUUUCCCAGAUAUACUACAAGCAAGAGAAUGGCUGGCAGGCACUUGGUGGCCUUUUUCUGUCUUCCAUAGGAAGAAUUUUCUAACACAACAAACAGGUGAGGACACGACUCGUCUUUACAAGCUCUCUGUGGUGCUUCCCAGCAUGGAGCAGAUCCACAAAAGAACUCUGAGGGGCGUAGCAAGGAGACCAAACACAGGCACCCAGGGAGAGCGCCUGGCAUAGCCACAGGGCCAUUGAGAUCUGCCACAGGGGGUGUUUGCCCGCUCUCAGUCGUCUCCCGAGCUGCAGAGUCCCCAGCCUGGAAACAAGGUCCAGGCGCCGUCAGCGAGGUGAGCAACGGCACGUCGAGGAGGGCAGGCUGCGUCUGGCUGCUGCCUCUUCUGGUCUUGCACCUGCUUCUCAAAUUUUGAUGUGAGUGCCACUUCCCCACCCGGGAAAGGCUGCCGCCACCACCACCACCAACACAACAGCAAUGGCAACACCGACAGCAACCAAUCAGAUAUAUACAAAUGAAAUUAGAAGAAACACAGCCUCAUGGGACAGAAAUUUGAGGGAGGGGAACAAAGAAUACUUUGGGGGGAAAAAAGUUUUAAAAAAGAAAUUGAAAAUUGCCUUGCAGAUAUUUAGGUACAAUGGAGUUUUCUUUUCCCAAACGGGAAGAACACAGCACACCCGGCUUGGACCCACUGCAAGCUGCAUCGUGCAACCUCUUUGGUGCCAGUGUGGGCAAGGGCUCAGCCUCUCUGCCCACAGAGUGCCCCCACGUGGAACAUUCUGGAGCUGGCCAUCCCAAAUUCAAUCAGUCCAUAGAGACGAACAGAAUGAGACCUUCCGGCCCAAGCGUGGCGCUGCGGGCACUUUGGUAGACUGUGCCACCACGGCGUGUGUUGUGAAACGUGAAAUAAAAAGAGCAAGAAAGAAAAAGGAAACAAAAUAAGACCGUCUGACAGCAACAACGGUCCCACAAACAAGUCACAAAAGAUACCGUUAAACUUUUUUUUUUUUUUAUCAUUUUACUACAUGAACAUCAUGGAUAACAAGGGAUUCUGAUUCAUUAUUAAUUUCAUUAAUUAUAUUUUCUGAUAUGAGUCUAGAACUUACUGCAAAAACAAGACAAAACUAAAAAAAUACAACUGAGAAGGGUGAAGAGAAGUAUGUUUGUUAAACAGUAAAAAUGAAUAGUAUACUUCUUAACUAGGUUUACAACUGGUGGACCACACACCAGGCACUAAUCACCUGGUGAGGAUUUGGCAUAUCCACCAAAAAAUGCAUCCGAUUUAACCAACAUCUCCACCAGCGCUACGGACUCCUCCCAAUUCUGACAUCUCUUGCAGACAAUACUAUGCUCUCUACACACUGUUUAGAAAUGGAAAGGUGAUCUGCACUGUAUCUUGGGUUUGUUGGCUAUGCUUCCUUUGAUGACAUAUAUUAUACAGUAUAUAUAUACAUAUAUUUUUUUUGUUAGAGUUCUAGCCAUUUUAUUUCUCCGCAGGGUCCUUUCUCAGACAUUACUGCAUGCUGUAUAUGGCGUUAGCUGUGUGUUGAUCUUCUAAAAGAUGAUAGAGUUUACUGGUAAUUGUGUAAUCAGCUCCUGCCUUUUUAUUUUCUUGGGUUAUUUACAUGUCAGAGACAUUUAUAAAAAGUGAAAGGAUAAAAAAAAAAAAAAACAACUAAUACCGGGCGCAGCAUCUUUCCAGGUGUGGCUCUGCGCUAGGCCACCCCAGGUGGCCCCGCUUUCUCCAUUCUGCCCUGUGGCGUUAACAGACAGCAAGCAGCUGAACAAGCAGUACCGUCAGUACCCACUUGCUUUAGCCCAUUAUGGGAAUCUCUGAUGCCUUUGUGACCACUGGAGAGUUUAAUCCUCUUGGUUUAUUUUAUUUCCCACCUUUGUGUGAGUGUGUAUGAAAGAGAAGAAAAUGCAAUUUUUAGGUAAUCUUUUUUUUUUUUCCCCUCCCCUGAAAGUCUGGGAACCUGAGAGUCCUCGGGGAGGGGUCCUGGAUGUGAUGAGGGAAAGGGGGAUUGGGGGAUCCGGGAGGGUGGGGUUGUCUCUGACUUGACAUUAAAAAGUGUUCCAUGUCCCUCUUCA